UAGUUUUUUAAUUAAAAGCUUGUAUGAAAGGCUGGACGAGGUAAAAUCUGUCUCUAUUUAAAUUAUUAUAGAAUUUAACUUUUAAGUUAAAAGGCUUAAAUAUAAUUAAAAGACGAGAAGACCCUAUAGAUCUUUAUAAUUUAUUAAAUUAAAUUAAUUUAGAAAUAUUUAUAUUUUAUUUAAUUAAAUUAUUUUAUUGGGGUAAUAGAAAGAUUGAAUUAAUUCUUUUUUUUGAUAAACAUUAAUUUAUGAAUAUUAAUGAUCCAGUUUUACUGAUUAUAAGAUUAAGUUACCUUAGGGAUAACAGCGUAAUUUUUUUAGAGAGUUCAUAUCGAUAAAAAAGUUUGCGACCUCGAUGUUGGAUUAAAGAUUAUUUUAGGUGCAGAAGCUUAAUAAUUUUGGUCUGUUCGACCAUUAAAUCUUUACAUGAUCUGAGUUCAGACCGGCGUAAGCCAGGUCGGUUUCUAUCUUUAAUAAAAUAGAAUAUUUUAGUACGAAAGGACCAAAUAUUUAAUAUAUUUAUAUUUAAUUAAUUGAAUAUUAUUAAAGUUAAUUACUUUGGCAGAUUAGUGCUAU
rnacentral:rRNA from 1 species